UUCUAGGGGAACUCUUUGGAGCUGAGAAGAUUUAAUUCUGACCCUUUGAACCUGAUUUGGUUAGUACCAGCGUAGGGAAGCAAUU
rnacentral:ncRNA from 1 species